rnacentral:rRNA from 1 species
GACGAACGCUGGCGGCGUGCUUAACACAUGCAAGUCGAACGGAAAGGCCUCUUUCGGGGGGUACUCGAGUGGCGAACAGGUGAGUAACACGUGAGUAACCUGCCCUUGACUUUGGGAUAACUUCAGGAAACUGGGGCUAAUACCGGAUAGGAGCUCCUGCUGCAUGGUGGGGGUUGGAAAGUUUCGGCGGUUGGGGAUGGACUCGCGGCUUAUCAGCUUGUUGGUGGGGUAGUGGCUUACCAAGGCUUUGACGGGUAGCCGGCCUGAGAGGGUGACCGGCCACAUUGGGACUGAGAUACGGCCCAGACUCCUACGGGAGGCAGCAGUGGGGAAUAUUGCACAAUGGGUGGAAGCCUGAUGCAGCAACGCCGUGUGCGGGAUGACGGCCUUCGGGUUGUAAACCGCUUUCGCUCAUGACGAAGCUUUGUGUGACGGUAGUGGGUAAAGAAGCACCGGCUAACUACGUG